rnacentral:rRNA from 1 species
CUGGCUCAGGAUGAACGCUAGCUACAGGCUUAACACAUGCAAGUCGAGGGGCAGCAGGAAGAUGUGCUUGCACAACUUUGCUGGCGACCGGCGCACGGGUGAGUAACGCGUAUCCAACCUUCCCUAUAGUAGAGAAUAGCCCGGCGAAAGUCGGAUUAAUGCUCUAUGUUUUCCAUUGAUGGCAUCAGAUUUGGAACAAAGGUUUUCCGCUAUAGGAUGGGGAUGCGUCUGAUUAGCUUGUUGGCGGGGUAACGGCCCACCAAGGCAACGAUCAGUAGGGGUUCUGAGAGGAAGGUCCCCC